UCUGUGUGGAGAUACAGAAGAAAGCUGAAAGAGCAGAAGCCAUGCCCGCCUUCGACUGCUGGACUACAGUUAGAGUCCCCUGGCCCUAGUGUUUACUUGAUUGUGGAGGUUAAUGGUGGUCUUAACCAACAACGCUCUGCGAUUUGCAAUGCUGUGGCUCUUGCUGGACUCUUGAAUGCAAUUCUCGUUAUUCCUAACUUUGAAUUUCAUAAUGUUUGGAGGGAUCCAAGCACUUUUGGAGAUAUAUAUGAUGAAGAUCAUUUCAUAGCCACCCUUGAAGGCCAUGUUAAAGUGGUUAAAGAGCUCCCUGAGAUGGUAUUGGAGAGAUAUGAUCACAGCAUCGCUAACAUACCAACCCUUCGUGUCCAAGCUUGGGCUCCUGUCCGUUAUUACAAAGGAGAAGUUUAUCCUAUCCUGCAGAGGCAGGGGGUUAUCCGCAUAGCUCCAUUUGCUAAUAGAUUAGCAAUGAAUGUCCCACCUUCUAUUCAGCAUUUAAGAUGCCUUGCUAAUUAUGAAGCAUUGAAGUUCUCUUCUCCCAUAUCAAAUUUGGCAAGGAAACUAGUUGAACGAAUGACUCAGAAGAGUUCAAGGACUGUUGGAAAGUAUGUUUCGAUCCACCUCCGUUUUGAGGAGGACAUGGUGGCAUUCUCAUGUUGUUUGUAUGAUGGGGGAGAGGCUGAAAAUAGUGAAAUGAAUUCAAUUCGACAAAAAGGAUGGGGAGAUAAGUUCAAACGAAAAGGCCGUGUAACUCUGCCUGGUCUCAAUAGGAUUGAUGGAAAAUGCCCACUAACCCCCUUGGAGGUUGGAAUGAUGCUGCGGGGUAUGGGGUUUGAUAAUAGCACUUCAAUUUAUUUAGCCUCAGGAAAAAUCUACUGGGCAGAGAAACAUUUAGCCCCUCUGCUAAAGAUGUUUCCCUAUCUGCAUACAAAGGAGUCUCUGGCAACCCCAGAUGAGCUUGCUCCUUUUAAGGGAUAUUCUUCGAGAUUGGCAGCUUUGGAUUAUACAGUAUGCUUGUCUAGUGAGGUUUUUGUAACAACACAGGGUGGGAACUUCCCACAUUUCCUAAUGGGUCAUCGGAGAUUCCUUAAUGGUGGACAUGCCAAGACUAUUAUACCUGACAAGCGCAAGCUUGUUGUUUUACUGCAUGACAUGGGUAUCAGCUGGAAAGAUUUCAAACUUGAGAUGGAAGCAAUGCUCACGGAAAGUGACCGCAAGGGAAAGAUAAUACCUAGAGUGAAAAAAUUCACCAAAAAAUCUUCUGUAUACAGCUACCCUUUGCCAGAUUGUGGGUGUCUCCAAAAACACAAUGGCACUGGGUAGACCCAUCUGCACAUUCGUGAUUUUCAUGACAAGCUAGGACAUGAAAAAACAAACCUAAUGCUUCAAAAGUUUCUUCUACCUGUGCCAUCAUCAGACGCAAUUUAUAUUGGGGCCUUGGCUCAUUUAUUCUGUGGAUUUUGAAGCGGCUCAUUGCUCUAAAGCCUGUUGGGAAAAUGUAGAUAGUCCUUACAGCAGGUUUUCCAAUUUUGGUUGCAGAAGGAUUCCCUUAUUUCAUGUUAUUCUUUUUUCUCUUUUUCGUAUGGAGAUGUUAGGAGCAGCCUCUGGCAAUGUUGGGGCAUUGCUCAACAUUUGUCGUAUAUAGAUUGGAUAUUUGACAUAUAAGUUUUAGCCAGAUAUGACAUUCCAGCUCUGGUCAGAUGGGGUUUAGGGGUUGAUACGCUGGUUUUGCAGUUUGAUUGUUUUUUGUUAGCCUUUUAAGGCAUUUCUGAAUUCUGAGUACAUAAACAUAAAUACUUUGUUCUUGCAAGUUUGCGCAUCGUUUUGUAUCUUGGAAACAACUUUGAUAUAGCAAGUACAGUGGCUGCAUUGUUUUCUUUAAUCAAUGGAGAGGAGGAUUCGAUUUU